rnacentral:rRNA from 1 species
CCCUACGGGAGGCAGCAGUGGGGAAUAUUGGACAAUGGGGGGAACCCUGAUCCAGCGACGCCGCGUGAGUGAAGAAGUAUUUCGGUAUGUAAAGCUCUAUCAGCAGGGAAGAAAGAAAUGACGGUACCUGACUAAGAAGCCCCGGCUAACUACGUGCCAGCAGCCGCGGUAAUACGUAGGGGGCAAGCGUUAUCCGGAUUUACUGGGUGUAAAGGGAGCGUAGACGGCCAUGCAAGCCAGGGGUGAAAGCCCGGGGCCCAACCCCGGGACUGCCCUUGGAACUGCAUGGCUGGAGUGCGGGAGGG